AGUGAACGCUGGCGGUAGGCCUAACACAUGCAAGUCGAGCGGCAGCACAGUAAGAGCUUGCUCUUACGGGUGGCGAGUGGCGGACGGGUGAGGAAUACAUCGGAAUCUACUUUUUCGUGGGGGAUAACGUAGGGAAACUUACGCUAAUACCGCAUACGACCUACGGGUGAAAGCAGGGGAUCUUCGGACCUUGCGCGAUUGAAUGAGCCGAUGUCGGAUUAGCUAGUUGGCGGGGUAAAGGCCCACCAAGGCGACGAUCCGUAGCUGGUCUGAGAGGAUGAUCAGCCACACUGGAACUGAGACACGGUCUAGACUCCUACGGGAGGCAGCAGUGGGGAAUAUUGGACAAUGGGCGCAAGCCUGAUCCAGCCAUACUGCGUGGGUGAAGAAGGCCUUCGGGUUGUAAAGCCCUUUUGUUGGGAAAGAAAAGCAGCAGGUUAAUACCCCGCUGUUCUGACGGUACCCAAAGAAUAAGCACCGGCUAACUUCGUG
rnacentral:rRNA from 1 species